GCUUGCUCCCUGAUGUUAGCGGCGGACGGGUGAGUAACACGUGGGUAACCUGCCUGUAAGACUGGGAUAACUCCGGGAAACCGGGGCUAAUACCGGAUGSUUGUUUGAACCGCAUGGUUCAGACAUAAAAGGUGGCUUCGGCUACCACUUACAGAUGGACCCGCGGCGCAUUAGCUAGUUGGUGAGGUAACGGCUCACCAAGGCGACGAUGCGUAGCCGACCUGAGAGGGUGAUCGGCCACACUGGGACUGAGACACGGCCCAGACUCCUACGGGAGGCAGCAGUAGGGAAUCUUCCGCAAUGGACGAAAGUCUGACGGAGCAACGCCGCGUGAGUGAUGAAGGUUUUCGGAUCGUAAAGCUCUGUUGUUAGGGAAGAACAAGUGCCGUUCAAAUAGGGCGGCACCUUGACGGUACCUAACCAGAAAGCCACGGCUAACUACGUGCCAGCAGCCGCGGUAAUACGUAGGUGGCAAGCGUUGUCCGGAAUUAUUGGGCGUAAAGGGCUCGCAGGCGGUUUCUUAAGUCUGAUGUGAAAGCCCCCGGCUCAACCGGGGAGGGUCAUUGGAAACUGGGGAACUUGAGUGCAGAANGGAGAGUGGAAUUCCNCGUGUAGCGGUGAAAUGCGUA
rnacentral:rRNA from 1 species